AGAGGUGGCAAGCGUUGUUCGGAAUUACUGGGCGUAAAGGGCGCGUAGGCGGCCCGUUAAGUCCCGUGUGAAAGCCCCCGGCUCAACCGGGGAACGGCACGGGAAACUGGCAGGCUUGAGUUCGGGAGAGGGAAGCGGAAUUUCGGGUGUAGCGGUGAAAUGCGCAGAUAUCCGAAGGAACACCGGUGGCGAAGGCGGCUUCCUGGACCGACACUGACGCUGAGGCGCGAAAGCUAGGGGAGCAAACGGGAUUAGAUACCCCGGUAGUCCUAGCCCUAAACGAUGGANCACNGGGUGUAGAGGGUAUGAACCCCUUCUGUGCCGAAGCUAACGCAUUAAGUGUUCCGCCUGGGGAGUACGGUCGCAAGGCUG
rnacentral:rRNA from 1 species